rnacentral:rRNA from 1 species
UACGGGGGGGGCAAGCGUUGUUCGGAAUUACUGGGCGUAAAGUGUGCGCAGGUGGCCGCGCAAGUCGAGUGUGAGAUCCCCGAGCUUAACUUGGGAAUUGCGCUCGAAACUACGUGGCUCGAGUGUGGCAGAGGAAGGUGGAAUUCCACGUGUAGCGGUGAAAUGCGUAGAGAUGUGGAGGAACACCGAUGGCGAAGGCAGCCUUCUGGGCCAACACUGACGCUCAUGCACGAAAGCGUGGGGAGCAAACAGG